rnacentral:rRNA from 1 species
UGGGGAAUUUUCCGCAAUGGGCGAAAGCCUGACGGAGUGACGCCGCGUGUGGGACGAAGGCCUUCGGGUCGUAAACCACUGUCAGUGGGAAAGAUGGGUGCCGAUGCUAAUACCAUCGGUAUCUGACGGUACCUGCAGAGGAAGCCCCGGCCAACUCUGUGCCAGCAGCCGCGGUAAGACAGAGGGGGCAAGCGUUGCUCGGAAUUACUGGGCGUAAAGGGCGCGUAGGCGGGAUGGCAAGUCGGUCGUGAAAUCCCUCGGCUCAACCGAGGAACGUCGAUCGAUACUGCUGUUCUUGAGGAUUGCAGAGGAGACUGGAAUUCCCGGUGGAGCGGUGAAAUGUGUAGAGAUCGGGAGGAACACCGGUGGCGAAGGCGGGUCUCUGGGCAAUUCCUGACGCUGAGACGCGAAAGCGUGGGGAGCAAACGGG